rnacentral:rRNA from 1 species
GGAGAUAGCUGGUUCUCUCCGAAAUAGCUUUAGGGCUAGCCUCAAGUGAUGAUUAUUGGAGGUAGAGCACUGUUUGGACGAGGGGCCCCUCUCGGGUUACCGAAUUCAGACAAACUCCGAAUGCCAAUUAAUUUAACUUGGGAGUCAGAACAUGGGUGAUAAGGUCCGUGUUCGAAAGGGAAACAGCCCAGACCACCAGCUAAGGUCCCAAAAUAUAUGUUAAGUGGAAAAGGAUGUGGCGUUGCCCAGACAACUAGGAUGUUGGCUUAGAAGCAGCCAUCAUUUAAAGAGUGCGUAAUAGCUCACUAGUCGAGUGACACUGCGCCGAAAAUGUACCGGGGCUAAACAUAUUACCGAAGCUGUGGAUUGUCCUUUGGACAAUGGUAGGAGAGCGUUCUAAGGGCGUUGAAGCAUGAUCGUAAGGACAUGUGGAGCGCUUAGAAGUGAGAAUGCCGGUGUGAGUAGCGAAAGACGGGUGAGAAUCCCGUCCACCGAUUGACUAAGGUUUCCAGAGGAAGGCUCGUCCGCUCUGGGUUAGUCGGGUCCUAAGCUGAGGCCGACAGGCGUAGGCGAUGGAUAACAGGUUGAUAUUCCUGUACCACCUAUAAUCGUUUUAAUCGAUGGGGGGACGCAGUAGGAUAGGCGAAGCGUGCGAUUGGAUUGCACGUCUAAGCAGUAAGGCUGAGUAUUAGGCAAAUCCGGUACUCGUUAAGGCUGAGCUGUGAUGGGGAGAAGACAUUGUGUCUUCGAGUCGUUGAUUUCACACUGCCGAGAAAAGCCUCUAGAUAGAAAAUAGGUGCCCGUACCGCAAACCGACACAGGUAGUCAAGAUGAGAAUUCUAAGGUGAGCGAGCGAACUCUCGUUAAGGAACUCGGCAAAAUGACCCCGUAACUUCGGGAGAAGGGGUGCUCUUUAGGGUUAACGCCCAGAAGAGCCGCAGUGAAUAGGCCCAAGCGACUGUUUAUCAAAAACACAGGUCUCUGCUAAACCGUAAGGUGAUGUAUAGGGGCUGACGCCUGCCCGGUGCUGGAAGGUUAAGAGGAGUGGUUAGCUUCUGCGAAGCUACGAAUCGAAGCCCCAGUAAACGGCGGCCGUAACUAUAACGGUCCUAAGGUAGCGAAAUUCCUUGUCGGGUAAGUUCCGACCCGCACGAAAGGCGUAACGAUUUGGGCACUGUCUCAACGAGAGACUCGGUGAAAUCAUAGUACCUGUGAAGAUGCAGGUUACCCGCGACAGGACGGAAAGACCCCGUGGAGCUUUACUGUAGCCUGAUAUUGAAAUUCGGCACAGCUUGUACAGGAUAGGUAGGAGCCUUUGAAACGUGAGCGCUAGCUUACGUGGAGGCGCUGGUGGG